rnacentral:rRNA from 1 species
AAGAGUUUGAUCAUGGCUCAGAUUGAACGCUGGCGGCAGGCCUAACACAUGCAAGUCGAACGGUAACAGGAAGCAGCUUGCUGCUUCGCUGACGAGUGGCGGACGGGUGAGUAAUGUCUGGGAAACUGCCUGAUGGAGGGGGAUAACUACUGGAAACGGUGGCUAAUACCGCAUAACGUCGCAAGACCAAAGAGGGGGACCUUCGGGCCUCUUGCCAUCAGAUGUGCCCAGAUGGGAUUAGCUUGUUGGUGAGGUAACGGCUCACCAAGGCGACGAUCCCUAGCUGGUCUGAGAGGAUGACCAGCCACACUGGAACUGAGACACGGUCCAGACUCCUACGGGAGGCAGCAGUGGGGAAUAUUGCACAAUGGGCGCAAGCCUGAUGCAGCCAUGCCGCGUGUAUGAAGAAGGCCUUCGGGUUGUAAAGUACUUUCAGCGGGGAGGAAGGUGUUGUGGUUAAUAACCGCAGCAAUUGACGUUACCCGCAGAAGAAGCACCGGCUAACUCCGUGCCAGCAGCCGCGGUAAUACGGAGGGUGCAAGCGUUAAUCGGAAUUACUGGGCGUAAAGCGCACGCAGGCGGUCUGUCAAGUCGGAUGUGAAAUCCCCGGGCUCAACCUGGGAACUGCAUUCGAAACUGGCAGGCUUGAGUCUUGUAGAGGGGGGUAGAAUUCCAGGUGUAGCGGUGAAAUGCGUAGAGAUCUGGAGGAAUACCGGUGGCGAAGGCGGCCCCCUGGACAAAGACUGACGCUCAGGUGCGAAAGCGUGGGGAGCAAACAGGAUUAGAUACCCUGGUAGUCCACGCCGUAAACGAUGUCUACUUGGAGGUUGUGCCCUUGAGGCGUGGCUUCCGGAGCUAACGCGUUAAGUAGACCGCCUGGGGAGUACGGCCGCAAGGUUAAAACUCAAAUGAAUUGACGGGGGCCCGCACAAGCGGUGGAGCAUGUGGUUUAAUUCGAUGCAACGCGAAGAACCUUACCUGGUCUUGACAUCCACGGAAGUUUUCAGAGAUGAGAAUGUGCCUUCGGGAACCGUGAGACAGGUGCUGC